AGGUUAACCGUAUAGGGGAGCCGUAGGGAAACCGAGUCUUAACUGGGCGAAUGAGUUGCAGGGUAUAGACCCGAAACCCGGUGAUCUAUCCAUGGGCAGGUUGAAGGUUGGGUAACACUAACUGGAGGACCGAACCGACUAAUGUUGAAAAAUUAGCGGAUGACUUGUGGAUGGGGGUGAAAGGCCAAUCAAACCGGGAGAUAGCUGGUUCUCCCCGAAAGCUAUUUAGGUAGCGCCUCGUGAACUCAUCUUCGGGGGUAGAGCACUGUUUCGACUAGGGGGUCAUCCCGACUUACCAACUCGAUGCAAACUGCGAAUACCGAAGAAUGUUAUCACGGGAGACACACGGCGGGUGCUAACGUCCGUCGUGAAGAGGGAAACAACCCAGACCGCCAGCUAAGGUCCCAAAGUCAUGGUUAAGUGGGAAACGAAGUGGGAAGGCUCAGACAGCCAGGAUGUUGGCUUAGAAGCAGCCAUCAUUUAAAGAAAGCGUAAUAGCUCACUGGUCGAGUCGG
rnacentral:rRNA from 1 species